rnacentral:lncRNA from 1 species
CUCGAGAAAAAAAACUGCAAAUGUAAACUGAUUUUAACAAAAACCAAGAAAAAAAGACUUUUAUUCAGUCACUGGUUCCUUUUCAGCUUCAUUUUAAAUGUUUCAAUGCCAGUUUUGUUUUUCGUUUUUUUGAGUACCAAAAUCAGGUGUCAGCUUUCUUUAUGCAUAUACAAAAACUAAAGUGCAACACUGCCACCUACUGGUGCAGAGGCUACAGAAAUGUUGGACAGAUGAGAAAGGAGAGAGUGCAGCAGGAUGCUUAUGAUGCGUGUCAUUUGGUGAUGAUGAUGGUGGCAACACUAUGACUUACAUCACUGUGAAAGCUUCCUCCUCUACCUCUGAAGUUUCCACUGAUCCCA